GUGCAGGAUUUCAGAGUAAAAAAUCGAAGGUACUAACAGCUGAACAAAUUGAGACGUUUAUUAAUGAAGCUCCAGAUCAGCAACAUCUAGCUACAAAGGUUGCUCUUAUAUUUGGAGUCUGUGGCGCAUGCAGACGCGAAGAGCUCACAAAUGUAUCAGUAAAAGAUAUAGAAACACAUGGGGAUAUACUUCUUGUCAUAAUACCAAAUACAAAAAAUAAAAUUCCCAGGUCCUUCACUAUUGACGGCCCAUUUGCAGAAAUAGUCAAGAAAUAUCAGAGUCUGCGGUCUUCUAAGGGCAAAAGUGACCGUUUCUUUCAGAAUUUUCAAAGAGGAAGGUGCACUGCCCAGGUAAUAGGCUUAAACAAGUUUGGGAAUAUGCCGAGAGAUAUCGCUCAGUACUUAAAUUUGCCUGAUGCAAAUCUUUACACUGGACAUGCAUUUAGGAGAACCUCUGCUACAUUACUUGGCGACUCAGGAGCUGACAUAACAACUUUGAAGAGGCAUGGAGGUUGGCGGUCAAGUAAUGUAGCAGAAGGAUACAUAGAAAACUCCGUUGAUAACAAAUUAAAAAUUGGAAAACAAAUUGCAAAAUCAAUUAAUGUAAAGCCGCAAGAGCCCACAGAAUUUUCUUCAUCCACAUUCCAAUCUGGUCUUAAUGUAUCUGUUAAUACUGAACCUCAACCAGGACCGUCACAUGCUAACAACACUUUGGUUACACCCAGCCCUGUUAACCAACCAGGACCGUCACGUGCCAACAACACUUGGAUUACACAUAGCCCCUCUAACUUUGACCCACAUGAAUUAUCACAACAGCAGGAACCUGAAAAUACACCAUGCCUGACUAGUCAGACACUUAAUUUACAUGGAAGAACUCACAACAUAACUAUGAACUGCACUAAUUGUACCAUUAACUAUAAUUAUUACUGAAAAUAAAAUAUUUCUGAUA